rnacentral:rRNA from 1 species
UUGUGAUUCAUGACUGGGGUGAAGUCGUAACAAGGUAACCGUAGGGGAACCUGCGGUUGGAUCACCUCCUUACCU